rnacentral:rRNA from 1 species
AUGGCGUGGUGGAAGUUGUGCGUACCGAAAGUUCAGGGAGGUAUGGGUUUUCGAGAUUUAAACUAUUUCAAUCUCGCAUUGCUAGCUAAACAAGCAUGGCAUCUACUUGACAACCUGGGUUCUUUAUGUGCAUCCAUCUUGAGAGCCAAAUAUUACCCUGAUGGAGACCUGAUGAAUGCAGGAUUGAAAAAGGGUUACUCUUUUACUUGGAAAAGCAUUAUGGCACGAAUUAAUUCACUGAAAAAUGGGUAUAUCUUGAGGGUGGGUAACAGACAAAAGAUCGAUAUUUUGAAAGAUGCUUGGAUCCCGAAUUGUGCAAAUAGGAAAAUCUUUACACCGAGGGGAGAGAACCUCUUGUCAAAGGUUUCAGAUCUUAUUGACCCAGUAACAAAUUUGUGGGAUGAAGAUCUAGUGAGACAAACGAUGUGGCCAAUUGAUGCGCAACGAGUACUCGCGAUACCCCUUUCUAUGCAUAACAUGUCGGAUUUUAUUGCAUGGAGCCAUACGAAAAAUGCGGUGUUCCCCGUUCGAUCAGCUUAUCUCUCGGAAUAG